GUGGGGAAUUUUGGACAAUGGGCGAAAGCCUGAUCCAGCCAUGCCGCGUGCAGGAUGAAGGCCUUCGGGUUGUAAACUGCUUUUGUACGGAACGAAAAGACUCCUUCUAAUAAAGGGGGUCCAUGACGGUACCGUAAGAAUAAGCACCGGCUAACUACGUGCCAGCAGCCGCGGUAAUACGUAGGGUGCAAGUGUUAAUCGGAAUUACUGGGCGUAAAGCGUGCGCAGGCGGUUAUAUAAGACAGAUGUGAAAUCCCCGGGCUCAACCUGGGAACUGCAUUUGUGACUGUAUAGCUAGAGUACGGUAGAGGGGGAUGGAAUUCCGCGUGUAGCAGUGAAAUGCGUAGAUAUGCGGAGGAACACCGAUGGCGAAGGCAAUCCCCUGGACCUGUACUGACGCUCAUGCACGAAAGCGUGGGGAGCAAACAGGAUUAGAAACCCUGGUAGUCC
rnacentral:rRNA from 1 species